AUUCAUCUUGACCUCCGCUGUGGUUAAUCCACCCGAGACAAAGAUCAGCUUCUGACAAACACUGCUUUCCUUUCCCUCAGAUAGGAAAGAAAUUCAGCAAGUUGCUUUCCGUCUCUGGCUUAGGUGUGCUUGAGAAGGAAGAUCCUGAGAGGAAAGAAGCAAAGAGCAUCUGUCCCUGGUUAAUCUCUGUGUGUUCACCGGCACUGCAUCCUGGUGUACUUGAUCAACUGGAUGCAUUUCACCAUCUUGAAGCUCUCCAAUACUAAAGAAGUUUUAAAAGAUGCUGAGGAGCCUACAGUCCAUACUGGAACAGUCCAUGACACACCACAGGCUCAAAGCAAUGGGCUCAAGAGAUCAUCGGCUAAAAACUUGGAGACUCUGAGAAAAAAAUGAAUCUUUCCUCCUUGACAGCAGUGUCAAGGACAUUCUGAACGUGUGGAGAGAAGUCACCAGUGACCCUCCUGACGAAGAUUCCAGUACUAGCAGGAGGCCAAGUAACCCCACACCAAUUUCCUCUUUAGUGGAGGCUGACUGGCUUUCAGUGUAUCCUUUUUGCUUGACUCACUAAGGAGCACCUCUUUGCCUUCUACAGGGAGAGUCAAAAUUCCCUGUCCCUUCUGCCAGAUACUGCCAGAGGGGCUUUCCCCCUUUGGCUCCUGGCUGAAAGCAUGGCUAAUCUGGCUGACUGAUAACAACAACAGUAAAUUCUGUAGUAACUGAACAGAGAAGAAAGGUGUGAAAAGAGGCAAGUUGACUGAUGAAUAGCAGAUCACUGCCAUCCUACAAGGAAACUUCUAGAAUGUUGAACAUUAGAGAGGAAGAAGCCCAGGGAGGAAAUAACAAAGUUCAGGAUACAGGGUUGUCGGAAGGCCUCCCUUAUUGUGCCAGAGAAGUUAAAACAGCUUGUGAGAGUACAGAAUAUCACUUCAAUUUCUCAUCAAAGUCAGGAGACCAUCUUCUCAGGCUGAACAUUGCAUAUACCAUUGGCCAGUGGGGCUUCCCAGCCAUGGCUGCCACUAAAGCCCAGAGAUGAUUUUAACAGCUGUUCUUACAAAAAUAUUUUCAACACUAGGGUACUGGAAAAGCUAGAGCUGAAAAAUAGAAUAUAAAGUCUCUUUAGAAUAAAAGGAAAUGCCUAGAAGCCCGGUAAUGAAUGCCACAGCUUACUAGAAAGGCAGAUUUAAAGAAUAAGGAGACACAUGUUAAGAGCUCAAAUUGAAAACAGGUGCUACAGCCAUCUCAAGGAGCCAUAGACUGUCAGAACUGGAGGAUACCCAAGGGCAUGGCAUCCAAUUCCCACACUUGAUGUUCCAGGAAACCCAGGUCACCAGAAGUGAAGUGACUUUUCAUUGCCACCCGCUGUUAGUGUCAUAUUAAUCUCCUAAUUCAAAAGUUAGUCUUCUCUGACCCAAAUUCUUCUGGGCAAGGUUCAAAUAAAUAUCUGCUUUGUUUUACAAAAGCUAUCAUAAAACUGAAGUUUAAAUGCGCACACACAUCUAUUCUCUCUACUGUCUGACCCUCUAAUACCUUGUUGGAGCUGUUUCAACAGCACUGGAUGAACUUAGUAUUUCAUAUGGCUCUAAACCUUGGCGAUCUUCUUGAACUCUGCACAUGGCUAUCUUACGAGGAAUGGUCCUGUAUCUCUCCAGUUUACAACUGAAUUGACACUUUUCUUUCAUGUCCUUCUCAGCAUCGACCAUACAAAAUACCUAGUACCAUCCUUCCCAAAGUGAACGAGAUGGGGACCGGGAAGCACAGUAGGGAGACACUCUUCAGGACCCAUGUUCCCAAGCUGAUACCAAUUCACUGAAUUUGUCACUAUUGAAUCAGUCACUUAACCAAUGAACAUUAUGAUUACCAGGAUAUCUCCUGCAACUCCUGUAUCCUGGGUACUUUCUGAGGAUAGAGGUAGAGUCUUUUUGCCAGGAGAAAGCUCUUUCUGCCUCUACUCAUCUCUUUAGAUGCAGAACACUUCUCACUGAGCAUCUUACAGGUUAGAAAUGAACUCUGUUUCCAUCUUCUGGUUGAAGAUUGUAGUCGGCCAUCAGUGGGAAGAGAGACCCCUUGGUCUUGCAAACUUUACAUGCCCGAGUAUAGGGGAAUGCCAGGGCCCUGAAGUGGGAGUGGAUGGGUAGGGGAGCAGGGCAGGUAGAGGGUAUAGUUGACUUUCGGGAUAGCAUUUGAAAUGUAAAUGAAGAAAAUAUCUGAUAAAAAAUUGAAAGAAAGAAAAAAAAAAAGAAAUAAAGAAACAAUCACCGACCUUACAGAACGCUUUCUGUUUGGGUCUUUCAGGUAACUGUUGGCAUUCCUGUGUUCAGGAGUCACAUAUGUAGCCAUCUGCUACAUAUGCAGCUAGAGACACGAGUUCUGGGGGUACUGGUUAGCUCAUAUUGUUGUUCCACCUAUAGGGUUGCAGACCCUUUCAGCUCCUUGGGUAUUUUCUCUAGCUCCUCCAUUGGGAGCCCUGUGUUCCAUCCAAUAGAUGACUGUGAGCAUCAACUUCUGUGUUUGCCAUGCACUGGCAUAGCCUCACACGAGACAGCUAUAUCAGGGUCCUUUCAGCAAAAUCUUGCUGGCAUGUUUAAUCAAGGGAGGUAAAACCAUCCAGUGGAAAAAAGACAGCAUUUUCAACAAAUGGUGCUGGCACAACUGGCAGUUUUCAUGUAGAAGAAUGAAAAUUGACCCAUUCUUAUCUCAUUGUACAAAGCUCAAGUCUAAGUGGAUCGAUAAACUCCAUAUAAAACCAGAGACAGUGAAACUUAUAGAGGAGAAAGUGGGGAAAAGCCUUGAAGAUAUGGGCACAGGGGAAAACUUCCUGAAUAGAACAGCAAUGGCUUGUGCUGUAAGAUCAAGAAUCGACAAAUGGGACCUCAUAAAAUUGCAAAGCUUCUGUAAGGCAAAAGAUACUGUCAAUAAGACAAAAAGGCCACCAACAGAUUGGGAAAGGAUCUUUACCAAACCUAAAUCUGAUAGGGGAUUAAUAUCUAGUAUAUAAAAAGAGCUGAAGAAGCUGCACUCCAGAAAAUCAAAUAACCCUAUUAAACAAUGGGGUACAGAGCUAAACAAAGAAUUCUCAACUGAGGAAUACCGAAGGGUUGAGAAGCACCUGAAAAAAUGUUCAACAUGCUUGAUCAUCAAGGAAAUGCAAAUCAAAACAACCCUGAGAUUCCACCUCACACCAGUCAGAAUGGCUAAGGUCAAAAACUCAGGUGACCGCAGAUGCUGGUUAGGAUGUGGAGAAAGAGGAACACUCCUCCAUUGUUGGUGGGAUUCCAAGCUUGGACAACCACUCUGGAAAUCAGUCUGGAUGUUCCUCAGGAAAUUGGACAUAGUACUACUGGAAGAUCCAACAAUACCUCUCCUAGGCAUAUACCCAGAAGAAGUUCCAACUGGUAAGAAAGACACAUGCUCCACUAUGUUCAUAGCAGCCUUAUUUAUAAUAGCCAGAAGCUGGAAAGAACCCAGAUGUCCCUCAACAGAGGAAUGGAUACAGAAAAUGUGGUAUAUUUACACAAUGGAGUAAUACUCAGCUACUAAAAAGAAUGAAUUUAUGAAAUUCUUAGGUAAAUGGAUGUAUCUGGAGGAUAUCAUCCUGAGUGAGGUAACCCAAUCACAAAAGAACUCACAUGAUAUAUACUCAUAAGUGGAUAUUAGCCCAGAAAUGUAAAAUACACAAGAUACAAUUUGCAAAACACAAGAAAAUCAAGAAUAAGGAAGACCAACAUGUGAAUACUUCAUUCCCCCUUAGAAUAGGGACCAAAUACCCAUGGAAGGAGAUACAGAGACAAAGUUUGAAGGUAAGAGGAAAGGAUGGACCAUCCAGAGACUACUCCACCCAGAGAUCCAUCGCAUAAUCAGCCACCAAAGGUGAUUGUUUCUUAUUUCAACUUUGUGUUAAAAGUUACAAGAGAGCAAGCAUGUGAUCCUUCCAGAUCACUAUAGAGGAGAUGAAGCUCCUAAUUCCCUCCCAGCAAUGAGUGAGAGGGAAUGAAUGAAUGCUGUAAUGAGGUGUGCUUUCCCCCUGGGUGUUUUCUUGCAUCUUGCAUAAGAAACUCCACAUACCAGUAGGAUUUGGUAAUCAGGAUUCACAUCCUGUCUCUUCAUGUGCCAGGACAGGUGCCAAAAGUGCUCCAGAAACAGCCCAGCCAGUGACACCUGCUGCAUGCUCACCACGUAAACGCGUAGUUCUCAGGGCCCUGAAAGGAGGUAAUAUGGCUGCUGGGAUGCCCUGAUGCUGAGAUGCUGCACAUUCGGUUUGUUGUAAUAGCAUUUCUUGGUGAACUUCCUUUUAGAGUAUAGUUCACAAGUUUAUCAAAGGCACAUUCUCUCAGAGAUGAAGUUUCAGUAGUCCUCAAAGUUUUCUAUUUAAAUUUGCCUGAGUUCUGGAUAUGUCCUUCCUCUUGCCUUUUUCACACUUAACACUGAAAGCGUAACCAACUCCAUUCAGAAGUAAAGAAAGGAAAAAUGUGUUUUUGUACUUUGUAACAGCAACUGCUCUGUUUAUAAGGAACAGCUUUCUGGGGGUUCAGGCAAAAGUACCCAUCUCCAACACCCAUCUCCUCUUUACUAGGUCUGCAGGACUCCAUAAGCCUCAUCCUCUUCCUGUGUGUUUCCACAUCACCAAGAGAAGAGAAAACUUUGGUCUCAGUGAAAGGGGUGAAAGAGUUCGUUUCUGGAGAAGGAACUAGGCGAGGAGGAACUAGGCGCUGGUGCAAUAAUGUACUCAGGCACAUUGCCCAGCCUCUUCAUGCUGUUUACAAAGGGACUCAGGGGUAAAAAAAAGGAAACUUCCAGUCCCAGAUACUCUGAGUGAUGGCUACAAAGAGUCACAAAGAUGAUUCCGUCUAUUUGAGAACAUCCUCAAGCAGAUAGUCUGAGGCGCCCUUCCUUCCGAGGCAGAGUGCUUGGACCAGCUAGGAAGACAGCUGACACGCCUUAUCUAGCUGCUUAUCUGGGACCUUGUGGACUGCCCUUGGAAACAGAACCAAAUCUGCCUAAUCAAAAUGGAUGCAACAUGGACAAAAUGGCAUGCCUCUGCAUCUGUGGGGUCUCUGUACUGCAGCAGAGGCAAACAGUCCCAAAGAAAAUAGUCCAAGCACAAUAGAAACUCUACUGAAAACAGAUGAGUGUUAAGAAAUAAAUUUGGAACAACCCCUUUCGUCAUUAA
rnacentral:lncRNA from 1 species